rnacentral:rRNA from 1 species
AUACGGAAGGUCCGGGCGUUAUCCGGAUUUAUUGGGUUUAAAGGGAGCGCAGGCGGAGAUGCAAGCGUGACGUCAAAUUUCGGGGCUCAACCCCGUCUCGCGUCGCGAACUGCGUCCCUUGGUUGCGGGAAGGGGAGGCGGAACUCGUGGGGUAGCGGUGGAAUGCGAAGAUAUCACGAAGAACUACGAUCGAGAAGGCAGACUGCCGGCCCGUCAACGACGCUCAUGCUCGAAGGUGCGGGUAACAAACAGGAGAAGAUACCCUAGUAGUCCGCACAGUAAACGAUGGACAGCCGCGGUUUGGCCUAUAUGGCUGAGCCGCGAAGCGAAAGCGUUAAGUGUCCCACCUGGGGAGUACGCCGGCAACGGUGAAACUCAAAUGAAUUGACGGGG